GAUGAACGCUGGCGGCGUGCCUAAUACAUGCCAGUCGAGCGAACAGAUGAGGAGCUUGCUCCUCUGGCGUUAGCGGCGGACGGGUGAGUAACACGUGGAUAACCUACCUAUAAGACUGGGAUAACUUCGGGAAACCGGAGCUAAUACCGGAUAAUAUAUUGAGCCGCAUGGUUCAAUAGUGAAAGACGGUUUUGCUGUCACUUAUAGAUGGAUCCGCGCCGCAUUAGCUAGUUGGUAAGGUAACGGCUUACCAAGGCAACGAUGCGUAGCCGACCUGAGAGGGUGAUCGGCCACACUGGAACUGAGACACGGUCCAGACUCCUACGGGAGGCAGCAGUAGGGAAUCUUCCGCAAUGGGCGAAAGCCUGACGGAGCAACGCCGCGUGAGUGAUGAAGGUCUUCGGAUCGUAAAACUCUGUUAUUAGGGAAGAACAAAUGUGUAAGUAACUAUGCACGUCUUGACGGUACCUAAUCAGAAAGCCACGGCUAACUACGUG
rnacentral:rRNA from 1 species